CGACUGCCUCUUCAUCUUCCAGGUUUCACCGACAAAAGCAACGCCUUUUCUUACCCGUAAGUCCGUAACGCCUCAUAACUCCUUCAAAUCCGUCAUUUAUUUCGAUUUUUCCCUUGAUAAAUCCACACUUUGAUUUCUGAAGCGAGAGAGAAUCGAAAAAUAUGUAGAAUUUUAGGGUCUGGGCCGCCCAUUCCUUGUCCUGAUUUCUAAUCAUUUUUCCCGAUCCGACGAGAGGAUGAAGAAGACGCAGUAUCAAAACAUUGGCGUGAAUUUGGUUCUCUCGGAUGCAAAACUCGAUCUAGAUGAGCAGCAUAUUAGAUCAAAGCUUAAACUUACCCAGCACAGAAGGAAGAGAUGAGACAGAUGGAGUAUUGAUUGCUUGACGAUAAACAACAAAACCGGUGGGAUCUGGAACUCAAACGCGAUCCAGAAGAAUAGUUUAUUCUAGCACGAUUCUGACCAUAUGAUCAGUUACUUGAGCUAGCAAACACGGGCAAACAACUCCCUGACAUAAUGGGGGAGCUUUGUUCAAUUAGUAACACAAUAGCCAACCGUUUGCUGGGGAGACACAGCGUGUGUCGUGUGAUGCUCACUUCGCGUCUAGAAAGCAUGAUUUAUGUUCAGGGAAGCAAAUGUUUGUGUUAGUAUGUUUGACUCUUUGGGUUGGUGUUAUAUUGGGUGUUCAAAGAAACUCAUCUGAGAGGAAUAUUCCUUUACAUGUGUCGCAUGCAAUGAAACUAAUGCUCUGGCUGAACUCAGGUAGCGGGUGAUACUUUCUGUGUUAGACAACACUGGCACCGCGGUUUUCCUUGGCUUUGAUAUGGAGGUGGCUAUACUGACCCACGUUCUAGCUUCUGAGGCUGCACAGAUUGUGGUAUGAGAGCUUGCACCUAUGCCAACUUUGCUGAAGGUGUAAAGGUCCCUCAAGCAGCGCUUCCCGGAGCUGUGACACCAGGAUCAGAUGUCAGAGAUGCUAACACUUGCAGAGUUGCAGAGCAAGCAACUACACCUGAUGGUUCACUUCCCGGACAUUUACCAACAGUGAAAGAACAAGUUGAUCUGGAAGAGAAUGCUCCCAAGAAAGCACGUGAGGAAUGAGACCCCUGUUAGAACCUAAACAACCAUGUCUUCUCCUUAUCAAUUAAACUUUUAGCAUCUUUCAACUUCGCUCAAGUCUAUUCCCUUGAGGAAAAAAACUCAAGUGUCGUGGUUGUUGUCAUUUCUUUUAUCUAUGCAAAUUUUAUUUCCCUAUAAAAAAACUCAAGUGUCGUGGUUGUUAUUUCUUUUAUGAAUGCAAGUCUUUUUAACAAUAUGCAUCCACAUGUCUUGGAUUUAUAAUUCCGUGGUCUUCUGAAUAAGCAACUUCUUCGGUGUCUUCUUGAUCAUGGGCAUCAAAUUCGGCAUACAUAU